GUCUGGGGUCACCUAGCUGUCCUUGAAAUUGACUGCAGAGUCAUGGCAUGUGAAACCCCUCCCCUGACCUGGGCCCCAACCCCAUCCUAUGUCCUUCACCCCAGCAGGACCCCUGCCCAGCCCGUGGCUGGAGUCCUAGGAUACCCAGGGCUAUCUCGUGUUGCUCCAGGGACUAUUCGGAAAUUGCUGAUAGGACACAUAAAUAGAAGUUCUCCGGCUGGGCUCAGUGGCUCGCGCCUGUAACCUCAGCACUUCGGGAUGCCAAGGUUGCUUAAAGUGGAGGAGAACAAGCUGAGACGGGCCAUCUCAGUAAAAUGCCCCAUAGACUGAAUAAACUUCUUUGUAUUGCAAGCCCCA
rnacentral:lncRNA from 13 species